CACAGUGAAAGUUUUCUCAGGUCAUCUGCGGGAAAAACCCAGGCAAACCCAGGGUCCCUCACGCACGACAGGAACACAGAGAGGGAGAGAGCAAUGCGAAGAACCUGGCAUCUCAGAACAGAACUCCAGAGCCUGAAGGGGAAUGGAAGAGGGGGCCAUGACGGCCCAAAAUGACUUCUCAGGCGGCACCAUUUCCUGAGGCUUUAUCCUGCUUAUUUCCAAUUGUGCAAGAGCUGAGUGUGGAGGCCUCACCUGAAGGAAGAAUAUUUAAACAUGGACUUGGCCAUAAAAUGACGUUGUAUCCAGGGGCUUCCUGAAUCACACAAGGACACUCAUGAAUCUGAAGACUAAAAGAAGCUGUACUUUUCCUCAAACGGAAGAAUCCUAAAACCACUCAGUCUGGAAGUAUCACUGAAACUGAGCCAGAAAGGAAUCUCCAGUCAGAUUUCCCAAGGAGAACCAGGACCUGUCUAAACCAUGAUGAGCUUCAGUUACACUAGAGUAAAGGCAAAAGAAGCCUCCAGACAGACAAUUCCAGCCCCCGAUACUGGCAUGGCCUUAGGGGACUCAUGUCCCGUCUCUGAGCCCCAGUUUUCUCACAUAAGACAGCUUUCAGGAUU